rnacentral:rRNA from 1 species
AUACGUAGGGUGCAAGCGUUAAUCGGAAUUACUGGGCGUAAAGCGUGCGCAGGCGGGUAUGUAAGACAGAUGUGAAAUCCCCGGGCUCAACCUGGGAACUGCAUUUGUGACUGCAUGGCUAGAGUACGGUAGAGGGGGAUGGAAUUCCGCGUGUAGCAGUGAAAUGCGUAGAUAUGCGGAGGAACACCGAUGGCGAAGGCAAUCCCCUGGACCUGUACUGACGCUCAUGCACGAAAGCGUGGGGAGCAAACAGGAUUAGAUACCCUAGUAGUCC